rnacentral:rRNA from 1 species
GACGAACGCUGGCGGCGUGCUUAACACAUGCAAGUCGAACGGAAAGGCCCUGCUUUUGUGGGGUGCUCGAGGGGCGAACGGGUGAGUAACACGUGAGUAACCUGCCCUUGACUUUGGGAUAACUUCAGGAAACUGGGGCUAAUACCGGAUAGGAGCUCCUGCUGCAUGGUGGGGGUUGGAAAGUUUCGGCGGUUGGGGAUGGACUCGCGGCUUAUCAGCUUGUUGGUGGGGUAGUGGCUUACCAAGGCUUUGACGGGUAGCCGGCCUGAGAGGGUGACCGGCCACAUUGGGACUGAGAUACGGCCCAGACUCCUACGGGAGGCAGCAGUGGGGAAUAUUGCACAGUGGGCGGAAGCCUGAUGCAGCGACGCCGCGUGCGGGAUGACGGCCUUCGGGUUGUAAACCGCUUUCGCCUGUGACGAAGCGUGAGUGACGGUAAUGGGUAAAGAAGCACCGGCUAACUACGUG